UACGAAGGGAGCUAGCGUUGUUCGGAAUCACUGGGCGUAAAGCGCACGUAGGCGGAUUUGUCAGUCAGGGGUGAAAUCCCGGGGCUCAACCUCGGAACUGCCUUUGAUACAGCAAGUCUUGAGUUCGAGAGAUGUGGGUGGAAUUCCUAGUGUAGAGGUGAAAUUCGUAGAUAUUCGGAAGAACACCAGUGGCGAAGGCGACUCACUGGCCCGAUACUGACGCUGAGGCGCGAAAGCGUGGGGAGCAAACAGG
rnacentral:rRNA from 1 species